CUAAAGCAAGAGCUGCUCGGUUCGCUACCUCGCAACUGUGAGGUACUGCGAUGAAAAGGGAAGUCGGUGUGAGUCCGACACUAUCCCCGUAGCCGUGAGGUUGUCAUGGUACUGCCCGAAGCCACUGUCGUUGGCCGGAGAUCGGGAUGAGAUCGCCCGCUGAGGAUGGGAAGGCGCAGUACCCUAGACCAAGUCGGAAGACCUGCCGAGGUAGGCUCGCAAUA
rnacentral:ncRNA from 2 species